GACGAACGCUGGCGGCGUGCCUAAUACAUGCAAGUCGAACGCAGGGGGGACGGGUGAGUAACACGUGGGUAACCUCCCAUCAGAGGGGAUAACACUUGGAAACAGGUGCUAAACCGAUACUGAUGGAUGGACACGCGGUGCAUUAGCUAGUGGGGGAGGUAACGGCUCACCAAGGCCACGCGGCAUAGCCGACCUGCGAGGGGGAGCGGCCACACUGGGCCUGAGACACGGCCCAGACUCCUACGGGAGGCAGCAGUGGGGAAUCUUCGGCAAUGGACGAAAGUCUGACCUAGCAACGCCGCGUGAGUGAAGAAGGUUUUCGGAUCGUAAACCUCUUUUGUUAGAGAAGCGGUAUCUAACCAGAAAGCCACGGCUAACUACGUGCCAGCAGCCGCGGUAAUUC
rnacentral:rRNA from 1 species